AAGAUUAAAACUCAAAGGAAUUGACGGGGGCCCGCACAAGCAGCGGAGCAUGUGGUUUAAUUCGAAGCAACGCGAAGAACCUUACCUAGACUUGACAUCUCCUGAAUUACUCUUAAUCGAGGAAGUCACUUCGGUGACAGGAAGACAGGUGGUGCAUGGUUGUCGUCAGCUCGUGUCGUGAGAUGUUGGGUUAAGUCCCGCAACGAGCGCAACCCUUAUUGUUAGUUGCUACCAUUUAGUUGAGCACUCUAGCGAGACUGCCGUGGUUAACGCGGAGGAAGGUGGGGAUGACGUCAAAUCAUCAUGCCCCUUAUGUCUAGGGCUACACACGUGCUACAAUGGCUGGUACAAAGAGAUGCAAUACCGCGAGGUGGAGCUAAACUAUAAAACCAGUCUCAGUUCGGAUUGUAGGCUGAAACUCGCCUACAUGAAGCUGGAGUUGCUAGUAAUCGCGAAUCAGAAUGUCGCGGUGAAUACGUUCCCGGGCCUUGUACACACCGCCCGUCACACCAUGAGAGUUGGCAAUACCCAAAGUUCGUGAGCUAACCCGUAAGGGAGGCAGCGACCUAAGGUAGGGUCAGCGAUUGGGGUGAAGUCGUAACAAGGUAGCCGUAGGAGAACCUGCGGCUGGAUCACCUCCUUUCUAUGGAGA
rnacentral:rRNA from 1 species